CAAAGGCAUGCUCCCCCCUCCACCCACCUCCUUGGAGAUGUCCUUUCAUUUUGGGGUAAUGGGGACAUUAGGAGCAACCUCCUAGGGUUGUUGUGAGAAUUAAAUGAACUAGCGCAGCCUGAGGUAGGGCUGGGCAGAGACCUCAGCACAUGUUUGUUGAAAGGCUUGCAGGUGGGUCCGCUCUCACCUGUGCAUUUCUCUCACUUGUCUCGUCUAUUCUCACACAGACUCCUGCAGUCCCUGCGCACCAGGUAGGGGCUCCUAAAGACAGCAGGCCGUCGGGGAGACUUUGAGUGAGGACAUGUGGCCAUUUCCAGAGCACUUUCUAUGUAAUACGCCUAUGUUGUUUCUUUGUAAGAUGUGUGUGUACAGGGGGUAGUGUCAUGUCCAGAGAGGGAUGAAUUGGCAGUGCUAUUCAUGAUUUUAAACAGGUAGGUGGGAAAGAGAACUGGGAGAGGACAGCCUCACUCAUAGGCUUGGACUUAAAUUUACGCUGAGGACAGUGAAGUAUUUUGCCACGUUGCUUGGCAAGAGAAGGGUUCAGAGUUGGACUUGGGUGGCCCUGAUGGUCCCAUCCCCUGUCCUCUGCCUAAAGUUCUUCGAAGAGUCCUUUUAUCUCCUAUCAGACAUUUCACAAUGGCAAAGUCUGUCUGAAAUCCCAGCUUCCCAAGGGUGGUCUUGGGGAGCUGCUGGGGAGGGGGUGCCCAAGUCUGGUCGCAUGUGCUGACUUCACCUCUUAGUAAUGAUGUGACUUACACAAGUCACUUAGCUUCCACGUUUCAGUUCCUUUCACACCUAAAUAGGUAUUUUAAAAAGAAGAAGAAGAAAAACAAAUAAAGAAAAAAAAAAAAAGGGGGGGCGGGGGAGGGGGGAAGAAAUCAGUUUAUCUACCCCACAGAGUGCUUUUGAAGACCAAACGGUGUACCUUAUAAGAAAGUGCUUUGUAAAUUGCUGUGAAAUUGCAAAAUACUAGCCAAUGAGGCUGUUCAUAUCGCCCACUGUCCAGCCCUAUAUUCUCUCACGAUAGUGAGCACCCCGUAGGUGCUGGGUGUAUUUGUGUUCAACAAAUAAUUUCCAGAAGUAAAAAAGAAAUUAAUUCAACAAACAUUUUCUGAGUUGCUGACCAUGUGCCCAACUCACCAGGCUAUGGCUGAGGUACAAAGACAAUUAGAAUAGUCUCUCUCGGUGGCUAAGCGAGGCCCUCAUUUUACCAGCACUUUCUUUGGUUGCCUUUUAAGCCAACCAGUUUUGUCCAGACAAGACAAAAACGCAACUGGGUUGCUUUAGGGAAGCCCAGCUUGGAGUGGACAAUAGUCCAGGCCUCUGAAAGGGCCUGAUUGGAUUAUGAGGCAAAUAAAGGCAGAAAAGGAAGACUUAGAAGGUGACAAAUGCAGUGGGCGGAGACCCGCUCUGAGUUAAUUCAGGGUGACCCUUUCUAUCUUCCAGAGUGGCCAGGGGCGUUCACGAUUGCCCGUCCCCUCGUUGCUCUUCAGAGCACGUGGAGACUGGAGCUACCCUGGUCCCUCUCUUCCAAUCGUCCAUUCAUUUGAUGCUCACAAUCCCCUGUCCUGACCCAGGGCCGGCCUGCCAUCCCCAGGGAAGCAGAGGUUACCAAGUGGUUUCUCCGUCUGGGGCCCCCCACAUAGUGUUGCCCUCAUGACCUCUUCGGUUUCAGCAGUGGACAUGUACCUGUUUGAAGCCCGCACCUCCACCUCAGUUCCCCCUCUGGACUCCUGACUCUGCUGUCUCUACCUGGAGCCCACUUCCUCCUGUUCUCCUUCCUUGCCACUGCAGUGUCUGUCUUUCCUUCACAGCCCGGCUUCUCGAGAGGCCUGUCUACACUCGCUGCUUUCCUUCCUCACCUCCAAUUUCCCCUCCAACCCACUGCUUCCUGACUCGCUCUUCUCCAUCGAUCGGCUCUCGCUCAGGCCUGUCGCGUCUUCCUGUGCCAUUUCCUGUUGUGCUCAGGUUCCACGAACCGCCCAUCUCCACAGAGGAGCAGCUGGCAUCGCCCACCAGCCAUGCUGGCUGAAGACUGAGGACCCCUGGACACCUGCCACGAGGACCCCGGGACGCUCUGUGCGAGGAUCCCAGGAUGCCUAGCGUGAGGACCCCAGGAUGCCCAGCGCGAGGACCCCGCGAGGACCCCACAAGGACCCCAGUUCACCCAGCGCGAGGACCCAUCCCUUCACAAAGACAUUGUGCCACCCUCCUGGAUUUGGGCCAAAGUCAUCACCCUGAACCCUGCGUGGGACCCUGGACACACGGACACGGACACACGCCCUCAGGACCCUCCAACUGUAAAUUACUCUCCCUCUGGCUCUUGUACUAACUAGGAUGGAAGCGCCCUUGUGAGUUGGGGCCUUCAAAGGGCUGAGGAGAAAAUGCAGACGGAGGGACCAGCGUCUCAAAUAGGCUUCAAGCCUCCAUGACCUGAGCUCACCCCCUGGAAAUGUCUGGAAAACAUAAUGGGCAGGUUUUCUGUCUUCAAAGUUUCCAUCUAAACCUCUUCAAAUUCCUUAUUGUUUAGGGCUGAGACACUUGGGGACGGUCAUGGGGACUUUCUUUUGUAUCUGUCUUGAAAGGCCAAAAUAUUUUUAUAUUGCUGUAGACAAAGCCACCUAUUUACGAAAUGAACUCUGUCCCGUCGUUUCCCACCGGGAAGACCGUGCUAUGUUUGUGUCUCUCUGUAUUCUGGGGUCUUGAAACAGGUUUCUCAUGGGGAUGGCCAUUCACUGGGGCCCAGAGGGGCAGAAGGGGAAGUCUCUACCCUGCCAAGGGGUCUGGGGAAAGGAGGGGGCGGGGCCAGCCUUGGAUCUGGCCCUUGUAUGUCUAGGGGUGAACCCUGGGAGAGUUGGGUGAUAAAAGAACAUUUGCUGUGUUUGCCCCACAUCUGCCAUUUGUGUGUGUUUCUGGGCUGUAGGUUUGCAUACUUUGGUGGUUAACAUGGUGGUGGGAAGUAGGAAGGGCCAAAAGGGCACGGGUGCUCCGGUUUUCUUGUUGUGAGUCUGUUUCACUGGUGUGUGUUACACUACAUAAUAAAUGUUUAGACGGAUGAAUGAAAGAAGCAUGCGGGGGAUAAAGAAACAAAUAGGUAUAGAAGUAAAGUGAGUAAGACA